rnacentral:snoRNA from 1 species
AUAGCAUGGAUAUCCCUGGGAUGUCACUGUCCCCAAGCUCAGUCAGUUGGCACAAAGGAAUGUGUUCCUUGUGAUGUGCCGUCCUCUUUUACAAUGUUGGACAUAAACCCCUGCCUUGAGUCUGUACUUGGUAUUCCUACAGCUUCUCAGAGCCCUCUGGACAGUGACUGCAGAAGAGAAUCAUACAGGAAACAUUU